GAUGAACGCUGGCGGCGUGCCUAAUACAUGCAAGUCGAGCGAACGGACGAGAAGCUUGCUUCUCUGAUGUUAGCGGCGGACGGGUGAGUAACACGUGGAUACCCUCCCUAUAAGACUGGUAUAACUUCGGGAAACCGGAGCUAAUACCGGAUAAUAUUUUGAACCGCAUGGUUCAAAAGUAAAAGACGGUCUUGCUGUCACUUAUCGAUGUAUCCGCGCUGCAUUAGCUAGUUGGUAAGGUAACGGCUUACCAAGGCAACGAUGCAUAGCCGACCUGAGAGGGUGAGCGGCCACACGGGAACGGAGAGACGGUCCAGAAUCCUAAGGGAGGCAGCAGUAGGGAAUCUGGCACAAGGGGCGAAAGCCUGACAAAGCAACGACGCGUGAGUGAUGAAGGUCUUCGGAUCGUAAAACUCUGUUAGGAGGGAAGAACAUAUGUGUAAGUAACAGUGCACAUCGUGACGGUACCUAAUCAGAAAGCAACGGCUAACUACGUG
rnacentral:rRNA from 1 species